CUCCGCCUCCUCCUCCUCCUCUUACUCCGCCUGUUCGGCAGCGGCGGUGGCGGCGGUCUUGUCCCUGCCUCUCCGCCACCUCCACCACGGCCUAUCCCCGGGCUGGCGCUGCUGGCGGGGAGGG
rnacentral:miRNA from 1 species